CGCGCAGAGCUCCGUGGCCGGUGUCUGAAGUCGUCAGUUUACUGCUUGUAACGAAUAUAGCGAUUGCUGGGAACCUGGAAGUAGAGACUCCUUUCUGCCAUCCCUCCGUCCCUCGGGCUGCUGCGAAUCCCCCCGCCGACCUCCAGGACCCCGGGCUGACUGAACACCCGCACCGGUCCCGCCGCCCCAGGGCCCGCUACGCACCCGGCAUAAUGGGAGAAAAAUCACGACGGAAAGGCCCAGCCCCUCGCCAUGCAGACAGGAAGCUUGACCGCACGUAUGAUCACCCUUACGCCCCUUGGAGUUUCACCCCCUCUUUGCGGGCUCCAACAGCCUGGGUCAAGGCCUGCUUGUCCUGUGUGGGCCUCUCGGCCGCAAGAACACAGUCCCGAGCCCCGGCGAGCUCGUGGGCCUCCCACCCACCGUGUACAGGCUGCAGUUUACGCCCCAGCACUGCGCCUGAGGGAAUAUCUGGAUCACUUUUCCAUUCUGAUGACGUCCUGUAGUUCAUGGCUGCAGGCUCCUCAAGCCCCAGGUCUGUGCAGAGACUAGCAAAGCAGCAGAAUAUCCAUGCCACAGCUUUCUGGAGCACCCAUUUUACUACCAGAUUUGGAAGGAACGAAGUUAAGUAAUUUCCAACAAUCAUCUCCCCUCCCCCACAAACAUGAAAGAAAAGACAAGAGAAGCACCCCAGAAGAGGAGGGGAGAAGUUCCCCAGAAAAAAUCAUCCAGUCUCUGAAAUUUGCCCAGGUGGCACAGACCAGCCAGCCUCUCCUCUGGUUGCCCAGCCGGCUACAGGUUGUCAUUUUACCUUCUGCCCAGCAUGCUUUUGAGUGUGCAGAAGGGCUGCAUGCCCUCUUCUUUGAAAACCUGUUGAGCAAAUGCCUCCGCAUUUUAUGCACCUUCAACCUCCACAGCCAAAGGCCCCUAAGACCAAACAUGCUGUGCACACACAGCAGCUCUUUGUGUCCCGCUCCUGGCCGAUCUCCUGCAUCAUCUCGUUGAGCUUCAUUGAACUCCGCAGUCUGCAUGCUCUGUGGAACUCAGGGUCUUCAUUUUGCAUGGGACUCAGGGUCUUCAUUUUCCAUGGAACUCAAAGUCUUCUUGCUCUGUGGAACUCAGGGCCUUUGUGCUCCAUGGAACUUGGGGUCUGUGUGAUUCAUGGACCUCAGAGUCCUUGUGCUCUGUGGUACUCAGGGUCUGCGUGCUCUGUGGAACUUGGGGUCUGCAUGCUCCGUGGAAAGCACUAGGAUGCACUUGACCCCCAACACCCACACAUACAUCCUUCAUUUUAUUCCUGGCCCUCACCUGUCCACCCUGUGAGGCUUCUUCACCCCCACUCUCCUUUGAGCUCAUGCCGGGUCUUUCGGACUGGCCUGAAGCAUGGGUGUUGGUAGGAGGGAGUGGCUGAGGUCAUGCCUUCAGGCAAAUUCUGCUAGUGUCGCAACUGAUGGAGCUGCCUGGGGAGGAUGUUUCCUUGGAGGGUGCGCCCUGGCAGCCACUGGCUUCUUAUGGUGCCUGCACUGCUGCUGCUGCCAUGGGGGCGCCACAGGGCCACACUGGGGGCUGUUCUGGAAUUGGUGGUUUUCAUUUCCAGGUUAGGUAGGGACUGGCAGGCACCUUGGCUGUCCUUGUGGCUUCUGUCCUGACCCUGGUCCUCCCCAGGCUGCUGAUUUUCUGGGCUGCUGCUCUUCCAGGAGGAAUUAAAGGUGGGAAUGGCUGAAACCUCAGCUUUGGAUUCACAGAGACCCUAGGCUGUGUCAUGCAUAAAGGGAAAGGAUUGCAGAUGGUGGUGGGAUCAGCCAAAGGCAGGGGCUUCACUGUGAUGCUGGAGCCCUCCAUGCUGGGAUGUUUGCAUACAGCCCAGGUUCAGUUCGGUGGCCCAUCAGCGAGUCCUGGAUCUGGUCUCACUCGCAAGCCAUGUAAAACGUGAGCUCAGUUUGCCAGGACUCUUGGGGUUAGGGAGAGCUCAGCGUCAGGGCAGCUCUGGUUCCUUCUCAUGCUGAAACUCUGCUGGUGUUCCUCCAUGGGGCCCUUGUGGGUUUUUCUGAGGUGCCCCUCUUGCUGGAGUUGAGGAUGAGAAAUGUUUUCAGUGGGUUUGCACCCUCCACACAUAUGUAAGAGGUGUUGUGUUUCAUUCCUGUCAGUAUCCAUUGCUGCAGCUUCCUGAAGUUGUGUCCGUUAAAAGGCAGGGACCCGGUGUCCAGGCUACAGAGGGUGACUCCAGGUUCCACAACACCACUGUGGACCAGUGUGCCUUUGGCCUUAGGAGAGUUCCCAGAUCGCACAAGGGGGCUGCCCCAGAGGGUGUUCAGCUUGUUGCCAACAGUUGCUGAAGUCAAAGUCUGCAACCUUGAUGUUCAGGUCAAGCAGCCAGAAACAGGUGUUCUGGUUUUAGGUCCCUGUGGACAAUGCCAUUCUCUGCUUCCCAGGCUACUGAUGUCCUGGGUUGCUCCUCUUAUGGUAGAAGC